rnacentral:rRNA from 1 species
UACGUAGGGGGCAAGCGUUGUCCGGAAUUAUUGGGCGUAAAGAGCGUGUAGGCGGCCAGAUAAGUCCGCUGUGAAAUCUCGAGGCUCAACUUCGAGCUGUCGGUGGAAACUAUCUGGCUAGAGUCCGGAAGAGGAGAAUGGAAUUCCUGGUGUAGCGGUGAAAUGCGCAGAUAUCAGGAAGAACACCCGUGGCGAAGGCGGUUCUCUGGGACGGAUACUGACGCUGAGACGCGACAGCGUGGGGAGCAAACAGG